ACUGUGACACCGGUUCUCAUCCGAUCAGCGAAGUUAAGCAACGUCGGGCCUGGUUACUACCAAAAUGGGUGAGCGGUUGGGAAUACCAGGUACUGA